rnacentral:rRNA from 1 species
UACGUAGGGUGCGAGCGUUGUCCGGAAUUAUUGGGCGUAAAGAGCUCGUAGGCGGUCUGUCGCGUCUGCUGUGAAAACCCGAGGCUCAACCUCGGGCCUGCAGUGGGUACGGGCAGACUAGAGUGCGGUAGGGGAGAAUGGAACUCCUGGUGUAGCGGUGGAAUGCGCAGAUAUCAGGAAGAACACCCGUGGCUAAGGCGGCUCUCUAGUACGGUACUGACGCUGAGACGCGAAAGCGUGGGGAGCAAACCGG